UGGGGAAUAUUGCACAAUGGGCGCAAGCCUGAUGCAGCCAUGCCGCGUGUAUGAAGAAGGCCUUCGGGUUGUAAAGUACUUUCAGCGGGGAGGAAGGCGAUAAGGUUAAUAACCUUGUCGAUUGACGUUACCCGCAGAAGAAGCACCGGCUAACUCCGUGCCAGCAGCCGCGGUAAUACGGAGGGGGCAAGGGUUAAUCGGAAUUACUGGGCGUAAAGCGCACGCAGGCGGUCUGUCAAGUCGGAUGUGAAAUCCCCGGGCUCAACCUGGGAACUGCAUUCGAAACUGGCAGGCUAGAGUCUUGUAGAGGGGGGUAGAAUUCCAGGUGUAGCGGUGAAAUGCGUAGAGAUCUGGAGGAAUACCGGUGGCGAAGGCGGCCCCCUGGACAAAGACUGACUCUCAGGUGCGAAAGCGUGGUGAGCAAACA
rnacentral:rRNA from 1 species